CAGAAAUCGAUGAGGAAACGGCAAAACGCCUUCAACAGCUGGAUAUAAAUGGACACAAAUAUGAGAAGAGUGGCGAUCUUACGGAUAUCUCCAUCAUAAAUGGGAACAAGGAAUAACGUGACAAUCAUCUUGACAUACUUGUAGCAGUCCGCUUCCCAAUUUCGAUCACAACAAAAUCCCAAAGCCAGAUGAGACUAAAGUUUCGCACAAAAUUUUAACAGCACGCCCCCGAUGUUGCAGCGCACAAAUAAAAGAGGAGUUAAUCAAAGAAGACAGAUACGCCAAGUAUUUUAAACGUCUGGAAAAACGUUCCAGUAGCAUUAACUUCGAGAUUUGGAAGAGAAAACAAAAUCGAGAAAAAAUAGAAACCAAUUUCAAUGGACAGCCACCUGCUGGUUUGUUUAAAAAAAAUCAAUUUUCGAAAUGAGGAACGUAACAUCUUGUUUUGAUGAUUGCACCAUCUAAGUUAAAUAAAGGACCAUUUAAUGACAUGAAAUGUCAUGGUUUUUAAAUUAAUGUAUAAUUUUUAGGGUCUAUUUGUCACUUCUCUAACAAAUUUAACAAAUAUUUAGACGUGUUAAAAAUAAAAGGUUUCAUCUUCAGAAGAA